rnacentral:rRNA from 1 species
AGUCAUAACAAGGUUUCCGUAGGUGAACCUGCGGAAGGAUCAUUUUUGAUUUGAACCAUUAACACAUUGUGAACCGAGGCUCCGGCCUAAACUUGAAUGUAAUGAAUGUAUAAAACACAAAUAAAAUAUAACUUUUAACAACGGAUCUCUUGGCUCUCGCAUCGAUGAAGAACGCAGAGAAUUGCGAUAAGUAAUGUGAAUUUCAGAACCGUGAAUCAUCGAAUCUUUGAACGCACCUUGCGCCCUCUGGUAUUCCGGAGGGCAUGCCUGUUUGAGUGUCAUGAAUACCUCACCUCCUCGGGUUUCCGAUUAGGUGGAUUUGGGUGCUGCCUUUCGAGGCUCGCCUUAAAAGCAUCAGUGGCUUGAAGACGUGAUACGUUUCGUCGAACGCUGCUUCCAACCUCCCGCAAGGGAUACUCCUAGAGUAAUUCAUGUCUACGACCUCAAAUCAGGUAGGGCUACCCGCUGAACUUAAGCAUAUCAAUAAGCGGAGGAAAAGAAACUAACAAGGAUUCCCCUAGUAACGGCGAGUGAACCGGGAAGAGCUCAAAUUUGUAAUCUGGCGUCCUCCGGGCGUCCGAGUUGUAAUCUAUAGAGGCAUUUUCCGCGCCGGACCGCGUCCAAGUCCCUUGGAACAGGGUAUCAAAGAGGGUGACAAUCCCGUGCUUGAUGCGACGACCGGUGCUAUGUGAUAUGUUCUCAACGAGUCGAGUUGUUUGGGAAUGCAGCUCUAAACGGGUGGUAAAUUCCAUCUAAGGCUAAAUAUUGGCGAGAGACCGAUAGCGAACAAGUACCGUGAGGGAAAGAUGAAAAGCACUCUGGAAGGAGAGUUAAACAGUACGUGAAAUUGUUAAAAGGGAAACGAUUGAAGUCAGUCGUGCGGGCAGUAUUCAGCCGUCUCUGGCGGUGUAUUUGCUGUCCGCGGGUCAACAUCAGUUUGGAUCGGUGGAUAAGGUCAGGAGGAAGGUGGCACCCUCGGGUGUGUUAUAGCCUCCUGUCGGAUACGCUGGUUCAGACUGAGGAACGCAGCUCGCCCUCACGGGCCGGGGUUCGCCCACGUCCGAGCUUAGGAUGUUGACAUAAUGGCUUUAAACGACC